CUUUUGCUAAAAUUCUCGAGAAAAUAGACCUAUAAUGAUGGCAAUCGAAUUCCCCCUCGAUAAAAAAUAUUACCCAUUUAGCUAGGAAUGGCUUCAUUUUGCUGUCUUGUCGGAGUUUUCCAAGGAAAUGUGAGGGUAACUGGUCGAAGUAUUAGCUCUCAUGAAUGGAAUCACGAGGAAUAGCGUUCCUGCCGGUGCAACGAUCACGUAGUGAUCUUGGAUGAUGGCUUUGAGGCGAUUCGUAGCCGGCUUUGUUUGGCUGUGCGUACGGUGCAGUGCCUGAAGCUCAUGGUGGAUCUUUCCUGUUGCAUUUGCCAGCUUUUCCUGGAAGAAAAAUAUUUAAUCUGAUUGAAUGAACAGGAGUCAUGUGUUUAGGAAUGCAUACUCCCUUUGUCUGCAUAGCCUCGUCAAAUUCAUUUUGGAUAAAUCAAGCUAAAAAUUAUAUUCAAACCUACCUAAUUUUCUGCCCUUUUUGAGAGAUUCCCUACUAACUUUACCAGGCCAGUGAGGUAGGGGUGAACAUAUUCCUCGUCACACUGUAAGCCAUCAUUGGUGAUUUUGAACGUGAUGUGCUCCUGUGCUUGCUUGGCCUGCUCCCUCAGUUUCCUGGCCUUUUCACGGUGUCUUUCAGCUGAAUGCAGAGUCUUAACAUAUUGAUCAAAAUCUGUGUCACCUGUUGGCUUACCAGAUGUCUUGGCCUUAUGCUUAGCAAUCAAUAUGUCAAGGCUCUCGCAUUCAGUCAUGAAAAGGUUAUAAAACUUCAGAAAGAGUCCAAUGCUUAUGUGUAGGCCAGGCACACAUAUCUGUGAAUAAAUAAAAAAAGUAUAGGGUGUGA